rnacentral:rRNA from 1 species
UACGUAGGGUGCAAGCGUUAAUCGGAAUUACUGGGCGUAAAGCGUGCGCAGGCGGUUGUGCAAGACAGAUGUGAAAUCCCCGGGCUCAACCUGGGAACUGCAUUUGUGACUGCACGGCUGGAGUGCGGCAGAGGGGGAUGGAAUUCCGCGUGUAGCAGUGAAAUGCGUAGAUAUGCGGAGGAACACCGAUGGCGAAGGCAAUCCCCUGGACCUGCACUGACGCUCAUGCACGAAAGCGUGGGGAGCAAACAGG